rnacentral:rRNA from 1 species
GUUGUAUAGUCAAGUAAUUAAGUGCAUGUGGUGGAUGCCUUGGCAGUCAGAGGCGAUGAAAGACGUGAUAGCCUGCGAAAAGCUCCGGGGAGGCGGCAAAUAUCCUUUGAUCCGGAGAUGUCUGAAUGGGGGAACCCACCUACUUUAAGGUAGGUAUUGCAACAUGAAUACAUAGUGUUGCAAGGCGAACGAGGGGAAGUGAAACAUCUCAGUACCCUUAGGAAAAGAAAUCAAUUGAGAUUCCCUCAGUAGCGGCGAGCGAACGGGGAUCAGCCCAUUAAGUUAUGUGUGUUUUAGUGGAACGCUCUGGGAAGUGCGAACGUAGAGGGUGAUAUUCCCGUACACGAAAGGGCACACAUAAUGAUGACGAGUAGGGCGAGGCACGUGAAACCUUGUCUGAAUAUGGGGGGACCAUCCUCCAAGGCUAAAUACUCCUGACUGACCGAUAGUGAACCAGUACCGUGAGGGAAAGGCGAAAAGAACCCCUGUGAGGGGAGUGAAAUAGAUCCUGAAACCGCAUGCAUACAAGCAGUGGGAGCACCUUCGUGGUGUGACUGCGUACCUUUUGUAUAAUGGGUCAGCGACUUAUAUUCAGUAGCGAGGUUAACCGUAUAGGGGAGCCGUAGAGAAAUCGAGUCUUAAUAGGGCGUUUAGUUGCUGGGUAUAGACCCGAAACCAGGCGAUCUAUCCAUGAGCAGGUUGAAGGUUGGGUAACACUAACUGGAGGACCGAACCCACUGUCGUUGAAAAGCCAGGGGAUGACUUGUGGAUAGGGGUGAAAGGCUAAUCAAGCCUGGUGAUAGCUGGUUCUCCCCGAAAGCUAUUUAGGUAGCGCCUCGGACGAAUACCAUAGGGGGUAGAGCACUGUUUCGGCUAGGGGGUCAUCCCGACUUACCAAACCGAUGCAAACUCCGAAUACCUAUGAGUACUAUCCGGGAGACAGACUGCGGGUGCUAACGUCCGUAGUCAAGAGGAAAACAAUCCAGACCGCCAGCUAAGGCCCCAAAAUCAUAGUUAAGUGGGAAACGAUGUGGGAAGGCAUAGACAGCUAGGAGGUUGGCUUAGAAGCAGCCACCCUUUAAAGAAAGCGUAAUAGCUCACUAGUCGAGUCGGCCUGCGCGGAAGAUGUAACGGGGCUAAAACUAUGUGCCGAAGCUGCGGAUNNNNNNNNNNNNNNNUUGACAUUAGUCAAGUGGUAGGGGAGCGUUCUGUAAGCCGAUGAAGGUGUAUUGAGAAGUAUGCUGGAGGUAUCAGAAGUGCGAAUGCUGACGUGAGUAACGACAAAACGGGUGAAAAACCCGUUCGCCGAAAGACCAAGGGUUCCAGUCCAACGUUAA